rnacentral:rRNA from 1 species
UUCGCCCUUAGAGUUUGAUCCUGGCUCAGGAUGAACGCUGGCGGCGUGCUUAACACAUGCAAGUCGAACGAAGCACUUUAUUUGAUUUCCUUCGGGACUGAUUAUUUUGUGACUGAGUGGCGGACGGGUGAGUAACGCGUGAGUAACCUGCCCUAGAGUGGGGGACAACAGUUGGAAACGACUGCUAAUACCGCAUAAGCCCACGGUGCCGCAUGACACUGAGGGAAAAGGAUUUAUUCGCUUUAGGAUGGACUCGCGUCCAAUUAGCUAGUUGGUGAGGUAACGGCCCACCAAGGCGACGAUUGGUAGCCGGACUGAGAGGUUGAACGGCCACAUUGGGACUGAGACACGGCCCAGACUCCUACGGGAGGCAGCAGUGGGGGAUAUUGCACAAUGGGGGAAACCCUGAUGCAGCGACGCCGCGUGGAGGAAGAAGGUUUUCGGAUUGUAAACUCCUGUCGUUAGGGACGAUAAUGACGGUACCUAACAAGAAAGCACCGGCUAACUACGUGCCAGCAGCCGCGGUAAAACGUAGGGUGCAAGCGUUGUCCGGAAUUACUGGGUGUAAAGGGAGCGCAGGCGGGAAGACAAGUUGGAAGUGAAAACCAUGGGCUCAACCCAUGAAUUGCUUUCAAAACUGUUUUUCUUGAGUAGUGCAGAGGUAGAUGGAAUUCCCGGUGUAGCGGUGGAAUGCGUAGAUAUCGGGAGAAACACCAGUGGCGAAGGCGGUCUACUGGGCACCAACUGACGCUGAGGCUCGAAAGCAUGGGUAGCCCCCAUAAGGAGAUACCCUGGUAUUCCAUGCCGUAAACGAGAAUUAGUUGGUGUAGGGGGAUUGACCCCCUACAGUGCCGCAGUUCACACAAUAAGUAAUCCACUUGGGGAGUAAGGCCGCAAGGUUGAAACUCAAAGGAAUUGACGGGGGCCCGCACAAGCAGUGGAGUAUGUGGUUUAAUUCGAAGCAACGCGAAGAACCUUACCAGGUCUUGACAUCCGAUGCAUAGCACAGAGAUGUGUGAAAUCAUUCGGGACAUCGAGACAGGUGGUGCAUGGUUGUCGUCAGCUCGUGUCGUGAGAUGUUGGGUUAAGUCCCGCAACGAGCGCAACCCUUAUUGCCAGUUACUACGUUAAGAGGACUCUGGCGAGACUGCCGUUGACAAAACGGAGGAAGGUGGGGAUGACGUCAGAUCAUCAUGCCCCUUAUGACCAGGGCUACACACGUGCUACAAUGGCGUAAACAAAGGGAAGCAGAGCCGCGAGGCCGAGCAAAUCUCAAAAAUAACGUCUCAGUUCAGAUUGCAGGCUGCAGCUCGCCUGCAUGAAGUCGGAAUUGUUAGUAAUCGCGGAUCAGCAUGCCGCGGUGAAUACGUUCCCGGGCCUUGCACUCACCGCCCGUCA